AUUGAACGCUGGCGGAAUGCUUUACACAUGCAAGUCGAACGGCAGCACGGACUUCGGUCUGGUGGCGAGUGGCGAACGGGUGAGUAAUGUAUCGGAACGUGCCCAGUCGUGGGGGAUAACGUAGUGAAAAUUACGCUAAUACCGCAUACGAUCUAUGGAUGAAAGCGGGGGAUCGCAAGACCUCGCGCGAUUGGAGCGGCCGAUAUCAGAUUAGGUAGUUGGUGGGGUAAAGGCCCACCAAGCAAACGAUCUGUAGCUGGUCUGAGAGGACGAGCAGCCACACUGGAACGGAGACACGGUCCAGACUCCUACGGGAGGCAGCAGUGGGGAAUUUUGGACAAUGGGCGAAAGCCUGAUCCAGCCAUUCCGCGUGCAGGAUGAAGGCCCUCGGGUUGUAAACUGCUUUUGUACAGAACGAAAAGGUUUCUACUAAUACUAGGAGCUCAUGACGGUACUGUAAGAAUAAGCAUCGGCUAAUUACGUGCCAGCCGCCGCCGUAA
rnacentral:rRNA from 1 species